rnacentral:lncRNA from 1 species
UCAUUUUGUUCCCUUAACGACAUAUUCUGUAUCACAGAAAUUUUUUGACAUGUUUAAAAUCACACGUGUCGUAAUGUUUGCCCAGUAAAAAAAAAAGGUAGUGCUGUUACAGAGACAGCGAUUUAGCUUCAUUGCAAACCGUAGUGCUUCUAUAGGAAGUAAUUCCUAGCGCGUCUGCCUUGAAAGCUAAGUCAAACAAAGGAGAAACAGUAAAAUGUAUUAUAUUAUCAUGCAUCCUAUAUCCAUAUUGUUUUGCAAGUUGAUCCGCCACCUCAUUUUGUUUCUUGUAGUUGCGUUCAUUCAAAGGUUCUCUUAGUUGGUUCAGCAAUGACCUGCAACCAUGAACAAUGUCAGAACAAUGUAAGUUAUUGUCGCGGAGGAACAAUGUAAGAGAGAUACUUGGGAGCAUCGACUCUUUUAUGGAUGAUAGGGCAACAAAAACCUUUUGUUCAUUUGACUGUAUGUUUGCACUAACAUUAAUAGAGGAAGGUAUCAAAUAUUAUAAACUUCAGUACGAAGGUAGUGCUGGGUGCCACAUUUACAAUUUGAAAAAAAGCAAAGAAAAAGUGUUUCCUUGAUUCUUCCUACAAGGAUUCUAAAACUUAAAACUUCUAAACAGCAUUCGAACUAUUUGCAAGAUUUUCGUUACACCCAAAACAGAAAAAGAAAAUAUCAUUCAUCCAUCCCCCAAUUUAAUACGAACUUCUGCUUUGAAAGGUCAAUAGACCUAUGACUGUUCUCCAUACCUCCAUAAUUAUUUCAUUUUUCAUUUAGUGAACUUGAAUUAUGUUUGCUUUAAGUUUUUUAUGCCCAAGCCCCCUUCCAUUUCACUAGAUUAAAACACCUCUUAUCUCUAUCUCCUUGCCAUAUAAAGUUCCUUAUUAAAGCAUCAGUCUUCUUUUCAAUUUUUACUGGUAUAUUUGGCAGAUAGCUUGAUUAGUUAACAAUGUACUUGACUCAUUAACCAUCAAUAUUUCAUGUUGCAUCCAUUAUCUAUCUACCACAAAUAAAAGUGAUUUGAUGAGUGUCUUAUCAGUUUGUCCACCAUUUUUUUGAGUCUCUAGAUACCAGCUUAGAGUACCAGAAAUUAUGCCCUAAAGGACAUGUGUGGGAGCUGUCAUUAGCGUGAAAAUAGUCGUAGGAAUUGUUUCCCACAACAAUGAGUUUACACCAAGGAGAACGAAACGAGCCCCUACGUGUUUACCCUAGUCUAGACAAGUUAGCAAAUACAGUACAAGAUGAAGUCCCAUGAUGUAUGCUAUUUGCUAAUGAUUUGUGUUAAUUGACAAAUCUAGCAAGGGUGUCAACCAAAAGCUUGACUUAUGGAGAAAAACGUUAGAAAGUAAGGGUUUUGGGAUAAGUAGAAGUAACAGAAUGAAAUUACAAAUGAAGGUGUUACUCGUUAAAAUCAGAUGGUUGAAAUGAAGAAGUGCUAUCAAGUGAAAUGUGAUAGAAGGAUGCCUACCAAAUUGAAAGUUAAAAAGUAUAUAGAACAACUAUAAGACUUACAAUGUUAUAUGGUGGUUGAAUGUUGGGUCGCUAAAGAUACAAUCCAAGUUCACUUGAGAUGGUUUGAACAUGUUUUACAAAUGCACUAAUUCGUUGGUGUGAAACAAUAGUAAGUGAAAGUGUUGAAAAGAGAUGGGCAAAUCUAAAAUGACAUGGAAGAAAGUCUCGAAAGACCUAUAAAUGCAUGGUGUUAAUGCAGACUUAGCUAACAAUUAGGCAUAAUAGAAGAAAAAGAUCUAUAGAGGUGAUAAGCUACUAGUUGAGAAUAGAUUUUAGACUUGUUAGAUAAAUUCUAAUAUUAUUAUUAUUAUUAUCAUUAUAUAUCCAUAAACAGCCUCUUAGGGAACUUUCACAAAAAUAAAUUAUUGCAUGUACCCAACAUCCCAAAACAGGGGUAACCCAAUACUGUCCUCCAGUUGUACUGAAAGAAGUCUGAAAUAGCAAAUCACCCAAGAAAUUUGCUGCUCCAACCGUUUCGUGCAGCAAUCUUGAUUGCCAGCAUGUCCAUUCUUGUCUAAACAUAUUUGCUCUAUCAUCAUCUCAUGAAGCAUUUCUCAUUUAGUCAUUACCUACUGAUGGCUAACAACUUGCUAUUGUUGACGUGUCAUUGUUGUUGUUAGGAUUAUUUUAUCUAGUACCAUUCUACAACUAAACAAUUGUUUUUAACUUUAUGGGAGAAGAGAGAGGGCAAGAAAAGUUUGACCCAAGAAAUUGGAUGCCUCUUUGGUUUUUAUCAUAUUCAAUAAUCGGAUCCCAAUACUAACCUUAUUUACCCCAACCACCUACUGCUAGUUCCUUAACUCGCAGCAAGCGUUAUGCAUCUUUUCUCUAGUAUGCAUUUAUGUUAUACUAGUCAUGUUUAAGAAAUUCUCUUCUUUAUCUGUUUUUUUUUUUUUUUGAGUGAGGUGGGUAGGUUGAAGGUAUUCCAAGGAGUCUUAUUUUGAAAACUAAGACGGGUCAACAGAAUGGAGUUUGGAUAAACAAUACGAUUUAGUAAGGGAAAACUUGAACAUUGGACCAUAAUGCAUGGCUACAUGCAUUUGGGUUUUCAUCCUGAAAUAUCCCCUUGUUAUUCUUUGUCUGAAGUCAGGUUGUAUGUUUCAACAUUCAAUAACUAGUAUAGAAUUGAGAAGCAACAUAGACAAUGCCUACAGAAAUAACGUGUGAUGAAGAUAACACACUUAGAUAUAUUCAUUAGAGCAUGUUCACCAUAUCUCUCUUGUUUUGCUUUAAUAUUAAGCAUGAAGGCAACAGCCACAACUAAUGAGUAUUUCAUACCUUGAUGAUUGGUACAUGAAAGUAGAGUAAAAGGAGCAAAACAGACUUCAGUGACAUACCUUAAAGACAGUACCAUUCACUUUGUAAAGGUUUUGUGCGCUAUCACUCCCAAGUCCAUUCAACUGACAAACACAGAAAAAGGAAUCAAAUACCAGAAUUGCAGCCAUCAGAUUAAUAAGAGGCUGCAAAAGAUAUUACCUGCGUUGUUCAAUUUAUGUCCUUUCUUAUAAGUAGAUAAUAAAGACACUUCUGAAUAUAUUUACUUUGACAGCAUGAAGUCGGUGAUUGAAAGAUACAACAAAACAAAGGAGGAGAAUCAUCAAUUGGCAACUCCAACUUCUGAGGUUAGGGUAAGUUUCACUGGUUAAUUUGCAGUCAACUAAUCAAAGAAAAAUAUGCAUAGCUAAGCUUUCUAUCAUAACCACUUCAUGUCGUUGGACAUAAUCUAGGCAAUAUCAAGGGACUUGUUGAGUAAUUGAGGCAUAGAAUUAACAACCUAAAAUCUCAGGUUCAAGGCCUUCUAUAACACAUAAUAUACACAUAUCUACUCAACCAUGGUGAGCUGAUUUCUGGACAUCUGUAAGGUAGGCUGCAGCAAGCUUUUUGGUGAGAUAGUCAAGGUGCGAGCAAAUUGAUCCAGACACCACUAUAAUAAGUAAAAAUUCUGUUCAAAGUUAACAGAAUAAUUAAAUGGUAGAGAAUAUUUUUAGUGAUUAUAUUAUAGAUGAAAGUUAAGAGGAUCAUUAAGAAUUAUAUGGAAAAUAUUCUUAGUGAUUAUAUGAUAAAUAUAGGAAACCAUAGAAACAAAAAGACUUCCCUCAUACAAGCAGCCCUCUUGAUAUUACCAACCAGUGCCAACAAGAAUAUCUUUUCAUCUUCUUCUCCUACUUAUUGGGCGUAUUAGGCUUCUAGGAAAUUUGUAGAAACCUAAGUGAAUAUAUAUUUGGAGAUUUUAUUACUCAUCUCUUUCUGAUUGAUCAUUCUAGGAAGUACCAUUCUUACUUCCAGCGAUCAUUUAGGCAGCACUAUGCUUUUUCAGGAGCCAUAACUCUUUCCAGAGAACAUUUGAGGCACCACACUGAUGUAUUUCAGGCAACCAUCUAUUCCUAGAGAUUUGUGUCACCAUAUCACUUCUCCCUAAAUUAGAAAAAAACAUUUCCCUAUGGGCUGUAAGGACACUUCUUUGGCUACAUCGACAACAGUCUGUGAGAAAGAAUAAGACCUUUUACGGCGAAUGUCACUAUUCCAGCAACUCAUUUCAGAUGACUGUCAAUUAUUCUGGUGAGUUCUAAUACAGUGCAAGGUGGCAUGUAAUCCUAACAUUGUUUUUGAUAAGUAGAAUUUAUUCAUAGAAACAGCAACAAUCAAGUAUUAAACCUGUAACAGAAGUUUGACUCAACUCCUAUCCAAGAUACAAGGAGUCUAUAUGAAGUCCAAAAGUGUUAUCAAGAUAAUUUUUACUGAGAAUUAUUCUAAAGGUUUAUACUAUAGUCUAGAGAACUAUUAAUUACUAUGUCAAAAUUGAAAUCCUCAAUGAGUAUGGUUCCUUAGUCCAUAGAAACUCCUAAGAGUCUAGUGUUUUCCUAACAAUAAAAGCUUAGUUAGGGUUCCUUACAUGAAUUAUGGUGUACUUCUGUGUAUACGACUUUGUGAAAAGGAUUUAAAAGAUAUUAGCACCUAUGAUGAAGGGAAAUAGAAUUUCGGAAACAGCCGUUCUACCUCUGGGCUCGGAGGUAGAGGUCAGGGCUGUGUUCACUCUACCCUCCCCAGAUCCCACUCCGUGGGACUAUAUUGGGUAUGCUGUUGAUGUUGUUGGAAUGUCAGUCAUAGGGUGGAGAAUCUUAUAAUAAGAGGGCUAGUGACUAGUCAAGUCAAAAACCUAGUUUGAUCUACAUGACUGGUUAUAUGGGUAGCCGAAUGGUAAUAAAAUAUUAACUAUAAAGGAAAACAACAAAAACGCUAGAAAGAGUCAAAAUGAAUAUUGAUAAUAUAUCUGUGAAUUUACACUAUUCCGAUUUAAUUAAUUCUAUUUAUACCAUGUGAGUCCUCCAGUUUUACCACUUCUAAGUUUCUAUGUGAUCUGGUUAGAUUGCAUGAGCCUGGUCCUAAGUUUGUAGUAUCCUACCACUCAGAUUGCUAUUUUGACAGUUUAGGAAAAGAAUAAAAUGCACAUUAAAGUACGUUGCUUUUGUUCUCACCAGAAAAGUGGAAAGAGAAAAAUGAAUUUUCAUCCCUUGAUAAAUCAGAUAACUUAUCCACCUUCACUUCCUUGGCUCAUUUGGUACAACGAUUCCUCAUUGCCCUGCCUUUCUGCCAUACUCAACACUUGUCUGUCCAAAUGGUCGGUCUAGCCAUAUGUUGGGUCAAAACUGAAAAUAGAAGAAGUGAGGGAAUGAUCUUAAAGGUUUCAUAUUAUCACCAACUCUACUGGAAAGGUCAAACUGUGUUUCCAAGGGAAAUAGAAUUAGGAGACGGAAGCAGGGUAACAGGGACAAAAGCGAAGAGACAAAACAGAAUCCUGCAAGAAGCAAAAGAUUCUUAUAGUUAACAGUUAGUUGUACAGCUGAAGAUGCUGGAAUGGAGGCUAAAGUUUGAAAACCAAUAUUUAAGAUGGAAGGAAGAUGCUUUAUGAGAAAAUAGAAACAUUCAUCCAAACUGGUGUCUUAUAAACCACGGGCAAUCCAAUACAUUGACAGAGAACAGGAGCUAAGUAUUCCAUUAUUACUGAUCUGGCAUGAAAUGCUAUCCAUUGAAAAUGUAACAAAACUUCACCUUUUCAAGAUUUAACUGGAGAGACGUCACAUAAGAAUAGAUCAGGGACUAUGGCUUUAAUUUGUCUAGCAAUCACAGCAUAGCUCAAGAUAGAACUGUCUUAUAGUUCACACUACACAAUUACUUUGAAGCAUUUUGUAUCAUAUCAAGCAAAAACAUCUUCAGCUAAACAAUUUUCAUAUAACCCCUACAGUCUGCAUAUUAACGCGAAAAAAGAUUCUACACAGACACAGCCUGAUUUCCUGCAAGAGCAAUUAAAGAAAGGGUUUUCAUGCUCUUGAGAGGGGUACAUGAUUGGAAAAACAAAACCACGUGCUACCUUUUUACUGACGAUCACCAUUAUCAACUUCAAGGAUUUAGUAGUCUGCCUAAUCCAGCUGUACUUGAAAAAUUGGCCAUCUUUUAAAUUACCUUUACAGUGUAAAGGUUCUAUUGUGGGAAAAGUUCUAGUAAGACAGGGACUUCAAAGGCUGCUUAUCCUCCAGCCCCCUUCUAACUAGUGUCAAAAUCUUAAAACAAAAUCUUCUGAAUCUUAAUCAUUUGAGCCAUGCCAAUUCAACAAGGAGAUUCAAUUUGUGGUAGAGGUAGUAAUGAUUUCUUUCCGGUGAAGCCCAUUUCUUGAAAAUCGUCUGCUAGGGCACACUAUCUGUUGUCAAAUAUCUACCAAGAUGACAGCUGGUGUUAACCUACACCUUGAUCAUUCCUAUGUUCACAUAUAAGUUCAGGUACAGCAAGGAGCUUUUGGAUAUGGUAUUGGAAGAUAAUUCCUGGUAGAUUGAUCAUGGAAGCAGCACUUGACCCCUUUUAAUAAUAAGACUGGAUAGACCACCCUAAUUUAAGACAUAACUAAGAAUUCUGCUCGGGGGUUAAUACUGCCAUCAUGACAUAUUGCACUCAUUUUCAUAGCACACUCUUCCAAUGGUACACAAAUCCAGGAACAGAAAAUCUCGUCUAGAGCUGCUUUACGAUCUUCAAGUGGGGUAACUAUGACGCAGCUGUAAUUUUAUUUUUUUUGUACAACUGUAAUUAAUCAUUUACAGAACAUCAAAUUUAAUUACUCCUUACUGUACCAGACAUCAUAGUUUAUGACCAUCAACUUCAAGGCCUCCAAAACAACAAUAGCUUAUAAUUUUAUCCCUGAUAGCAUAUUGUCGAACAAAAUUGUUAAUGGUAGGAAGCAACAAAUAUAAAAACGACGCCUUGUGGCAAUCUCAAGGAAGUAACUCUAAAUUGAAGUUACACAAUCUUAAGGGUACAUAUGGAUCUAAUUCCCAGACCACAAGGAGGGGGACGGCUCAAUUUAAAUCUAAGUAGCACCCAUUACAUCUAGGCUUGGUUUCCUAUUGAUUUCACAGCUAGUUUUAUCAAGCAUGCAGAAAUAUCCAUUAGUUUCUCCUAUGAUAAUCCAAAACCAUGUAUUAAAAUAUAAUUUCCUGUUAGCAGUUUUGGCAAAGGGAAGCGGCAAUGCUGAGGCAACAACUACAGAACUUGCAAGAGAAUCACCGGUAAACUCUCUUGUCAUAUGUUAGAUAUAUUUCUUACUUCCACAAAUAACUUAUUCAAUGAUCUAUAGCACAAACACAGGGACUCUUGUCUCCAUUGUAAGUUUUAAGACAUUAAAGUAAAAAUUACUCCCUUCAUUCACUUUUACUUGUCACAUUUGGAAUUAGCACACCCAAUAAGAAAACAAUAAUUGACAUGGCUAUUUUACCACACUACCCUAUUAAUUGAUGUUUAGUAUUAAGUGUUGAAAAAUGAUCUGGGAAUAUGUAAUCAAUGCUAAGGGGAAGACAUGGAAAAAAUUUAUUGUCUUUUCUUGAUAUGUUAAAGGUGAAGAGUAAAAGUAGGUUUGGGGGUUUCACAUGAAUCCCUAUUAAUUGAUGUUUAGUAUUAGGUCUUGGAAAUGGUGUUAUCCACUUUAAUGUUGAGGGACUAGGAAUUAGAGAUUUUAGAAUGUUCAUAAACUCUACCAGGAAAGUUGGUUUGGGGUUUCACAUGGAACUCAACCGUUGUGGGCAUCGACAAGUAUGCUAUUAAAUGGGAUAAUGAGGACCAAUCAUAUUGAGCAUCUCUUUAGAGGAUAUUGGGAAAAUGUGGAGAGAUCCUAUCUAAGUGAAAAUUUAUAUAUACUUUUUUGAAAACUACCCAUCAAAGCGACAAAUUUAAAAGGGGAGAGGGGUUUUGUUGUGUGUGUGUGUGGGAGGGGGGGAGGGGGGCUAGGCUAUUGAAACUAGAAUCAAUGUCUUGAAAUAGAGAGGGUAGAGUCGUUGAUUGUGUUAAGUUUUCUGAUCAUUUUUAAUACUUUCAACCAACAGAUAUUAACAGUUGUCGACAAUUUUUUUAUUUUCUGAAAUGGUAACAUAAUAAUUGUCCACAAUUAUAGAGAAUGGGGGAGAAUUUUAUAGGACCUAUUGCUUGGAUCACCAUACAUGCAAAGAAAAUACAGAAAUACUCCCAAUUCACAUUAUUUUGUAGUUAUUACUACUCGUUUCUGUAUUUUCUUUUUUCAAACUACUUGGAAAUGCUUUGUUUUAAGCGGAGGGUCUAUCGGAAACAGUCUCUCUAGCUCUAACGAGGUAGGAGUAAGGUCUGGUUACACUCUACCCUCCCUAGACCUCAAAUGUGGGAUUACAUUGGGCAUGUUGUUUUUGUUGUUCUUUCUUUAGGUAGGAAUUUUCCCAUAACAUUAGUAUACGUUGAUUUCAUCAACAAUGUUCCUAGGCAAAAUAAAAUAUCUCCUCCAUUGCACUACUUAAAAUAUUUAACUAUUGUGAUCUUUUGGAUCGAUGGUGUUAUUUCUUUUUAUUUUUUGGGGGUUGGGGGGAAUAAAGGUAAUAUUUGAGGGUUUUACUUUUCUGUCUUUAAAUGGAUGGAGUGAGGAAAUAGAGAAAUGUGUAUUAAUUGACACUAAUUCCCGUGAUAGCUAUUUUGUUCAUAAUCCUGAGCUUUCUUUUGACACUACAGAAGUUCCGUUAAAACAUGUCCUGUUUUUCUUCGUUUCACUCGCUUUUUGACAGAACAUUUUGUUAACGAACUUAACUCUCCUUUCUCUGCUUCUCCCUUCCUGUCCCUCAAAACCCUUGAAGAACAAAAAAAAUUGAAUGUACCUCCUCUUCUCUCCUCUCAUUUCUAUCUGUCUUUCAAUUCUAUAGCUCUAUCAGAACCCAACACCCACACCCCAGUUUUCUUUUUCUAUGUUCAGUGGGCAGUAGAAAGAGAGAAAAGGAUAGUUCUAGUAGUGAUACAAAAGGUGUCUCAUCAAGGAUGCCGUUUGGAAUGUUCCUUCAAUAUCUUCAACAGUAUAGGCAUCCUAAGCCAACCACAAGAAAAUGCAUGAAACUAAGAACUAAACUAUCACCACCUUGCUGGAAAAAAGCAAGUGACACUAGAUAGCUUGUAACAUCAGUUCACAAAAUAGAAUAUGACAGAGAUAUCUGCUCUAGGUUAUCCUUAAAAAGAUUAUAUCUGUAAGUGCUGACAGAAAGGAUACUCAGAUUAUUUCAAGCUACUGGUUUUACAAUCAAAAGGAAGAGGCACUCAGGACCAUGGUUGUAACCCUUCAGAUCAGGGUUUUGAAGGAUCAAACAACAUUCGGUCUCUCUUAUGAAUUAAAGUAUUAGCAUGGACUUCUAGGGUGUGUCUGGUAUGGAGGAAAACAUUUUCUAGUAGAAGUGGCUUCUUGUUUAUUUUCUUGUGUUCGGUAUGCAAGUAAAAAUUUAUAAUCCUAAAAGUAUUUCUAUAUAUAUCUAAGACAAAACUAUGACUCUAUGAGGGUGGGGGUGGAGGAAUUCAGGGGUGGGCUGGGUGGUUGUGAGGAGACAAUGUGAUUUGUUUUACCUACUUUCAUUAGGAAAGUUAUUUUCCAUAUUAUUUUUAUUAUGACAAGGGAAAGCCGCAGUCGUUACCCUUUGGGCGCGCACAGGGUAAAACCCCCGCUCCUAUGCAAUAGCUCGCAAACCACAUAGGAGAGGUAACCCGCACUAGGCAAGCCCGGUGCGAUGAGCUCGAUCUAGAAGGCAAACCCCUUGCUUUCGCUGGCAAGGGGUUUCGAACUUGAGACCUCCAACAUGGAAGUCCUAAGCCCAAACCACUGGCCAACCCCAAAGGGUCAUUUUCCAUAUUUUCAAGGAGAUUGUUUUCCUAAAGAAAAUAUUUCUCAAAAUUUUUGGUCAACUGAACUGCAGUGAAUCAUGCAAUUCACUGGAGGAUUCUGUAAAGAUGUCUUCACUAUAUAAUCCCAGCAAGCAACUCAAUGUUGGGGAGUGAAAAUUCAAUAAUAAGCACACCUCAAAUGGUGUUAUAGAUUUCUUCCAGAGCUCCAUCAAACUGUUUAACAUCAACCCCCACCCACACCCANNNNNNNNNNNNNNNNNNNNNNNNNNNNNNNNNNNNNNNNNNNNNNNNNNNNNNNNNNNNNNNNNNNNNNNNNNNNNNNNNNNNNNNNNNNNNNNNNNNNNNNNNNNNNNNNNNNNNNNNNNNNNNNNNNNNNNNNNNNNNNNNNNNNNNNNNNNNNNNNNNNNNNNNNNNNNNNNNNNNNNNNNNNNNNNNNNNNNNNNNNNNNNNNNNNNNNNNNNNNNNNNNNNNNNNNNNNNNNNNNNNNNNNNNNNNNNNNNNNNNNNNNNNNNNNNNNNNNNNNNNNNNNNNNNNNNNNNNNNNNNNNNNNNNNNNNNNNNNNNNNNNNNNNNNNNNNNNNNNNNNNNNNNNNNNNNNNNNNNNNNNNNNNNNNNNNNNNNNNNNNNNNNNNNNNNNNNNNNNNNNNNNNNNNNNNNNNNNNNNNNNNNNNNNNNNNNNNNNNNNNNNNNNNNNNNNNNNNNNNNNNNNNNNNNNNNNNNNNNNNNNNNNNNNNNNNNNNNNCACCCCCCCCCCCCCCCCCCCCCCAAGAAACGAGAAGUCACAGUUGUUUAAAACAGGAUGUAUAAGUCACAUACAGUCAACUGUCAAUUUCUCUGUUGGAAUCACAUGUUUCUUAACAGUUUAUUUCUGCAAUAUAGACAAAUGAUGGGUGAAGAGCUUUCUGGUCUGAGCGUCAAAGAUUUGCAGAACUUGGAGAACCAACUGGAAACGAGUCUCCAUGGUGUUCGUGUAAGAAAGGUAUGAAAUUUCCAGAUCCAACAAAUGUUCACUAUAUUAAUUAAAUAAAAACUAACUCUACCCCCACAUGUCUACAGGACGAAAUUCUGAUUGAUGAGAUACAAGAACUAAACCGAAAGGUCAAUCAACAUAAAAUGCAGAGACUCUUAUCAAUUUAUUCUAAUCUAAAAAGUAUAACUUCUCAAGAUACUAAAUUAAUAUUUUUCCUUGCAGGGAAACCUCAUUCAUCAGGAAAACAUGGACCUAUAUAAGAAGGUAAACCUAAUUCGUCAAGAAAAUAUGAAAUUGUGUAAGAAGGUAUCAAUGUACAUCACUAAAAGCUUUCACAUGCUUCAAGAUCAAUUAUUUCCUUUUGUUUUCUUAUACCAAGUGAAAGAGUCAACCAUUCUUCUUAGAACUCUGGCAAAUUGUUUCUACAUUGUGUUAAACUACAGGUUUAUGGAAAUAGAGAUGCAAAUGGAGUGAGCAGAAGUCCCCUUGUUGCGAACAGUUUAAGCAUCAAUGAGGACCUUCAUGCUCCUGUUCAUCUCCAGCUUAGCCAGCCACAGCAACAGAACUAUGAGGCAUCGGGAACUACCGAAUUGGGGUAAUUUCUUGCUCAUAUGCUUCAUCUGGAAGCACAAUGGUAAUUCACUAACCUGAUCAUUGACUAUCGUCUUACUGGAAAAUGCUGCAGGCUACAACUGCAUUCGCAGUGAAAACCAGCCUCGUAAGAGUUUUCUGUUCUCAUGUUGAAGAAGCAGCUGUGCUUACAGAGCUAUGUUUUAACUUUUAAUGGUAGUAAUGAUAUAGAACCCAGAGAUGUCAGGAAAAAAUCUUCAGUUCACAAGGUUUAUGACAUCAAGUUUGACAAGUGUGAGGUAAUCCUUAGCACAACUACUUAAAGUAAGAUAACAACAAAUAAAGGAAUACAUUGGCACAGUAUCUCUACAUAUCUUUAUCUUUCUUCGCACUUCAUGCUUAUGAUGUGUAUGCCCUGUAUACUAGGAUUGUACUUGAUGACGUUUUCAAAUAGCUAUAAAUAGUUGACUACUUAAAACAGGGGUGGGAGCAAAGAAAUGCAAUCAGAAAAAGGAUAUACAUAACAGUAACUCCUCAAAGAAAUUCCUUGAGAAACACACCACAAGCAAACAGUACAAAGCAGAGCUAAGAAACUUAAUAAAGUAAGCCAUACCGCAUUGUUGCAUCAAUAUGCUUUGCGUGCAAUAGUCUUUAGCAAGGGACAGAUUAAAUUCAUUUCACACCAGUGUCGAACUUCAAAUUCAAGUGCUAAACAAAAAAGAUACAACAAGCAUUUGUAUUAGUAAUGCUCUUCCCAGAAAUUUUAGAAUGGAUGAUCAAAUAAUAUAUGAAGCAACAACAACAACAAUAUACCUAGUGCAAUCCCACAGGUGAGGUCCGGGUCGGUAGACUGUACGCAGACGUUAUCUCUAUCUCAUGGAGGUAGAGAGGCUGUUUCCAAAAGACACUCGCGCUCAAGUAACAGAUAAUAUAUGGAGCAUGCUCCACAAACAGUCUUUUCUGCCGAAGACAGUAAGUACUUCUUAAACAAGCUAUUUCUGGAUCACAAGGAUUCCAAUGGUAAACCUACACGAAUGCAUGCACUAUCAACAACCAAAUUUUCUAUACUACAGAAGACAGACUCUCAUCAAAUGACCUAUUUGUACAGCAAUGGAUUGCAUACUAAAUUAACAUGGAAGAAACAUGUUUAGGUCAUGAUGUGUGUGAGCAUAAAGUCCAUCGUAGGCAAAACUUCGUAUUACUUUGGAGAGUACACAUAAACAGAACAUGUCAUCUAAAAGGAGUAAAGUCUUCACCACGAAGGAUUAUUCAUCUUCUAUCAGGAGAUAGUUUACAAGAACGUAAAUGAAGGAAUAACUGUUACCAUUGACAAAAAAAGUGAAUGAAGGGCUAUUAGGUAGUGAAUAGGACUAGGACAUUAAUAAGGCAUAAACUCCAUGGAAGUUAUCAAACUUUAGUGCGUCAGGUACUAUGUAUUGACAAGGUAAAUGGAAUUUAUAAAACUAGAAAUUUGAAUCUAAUUGAACAGCAAAACUGCAAGCAUGCUAUGUUAUACUACAAAAGAAUAUGAUACCAUUAAUUUAGGAAUUCUGGAAAACUGUAAAAGAGAAGAUUUGUUUUAGAUUUUAGUGGAAUAAUCAGAGCACGAUAGAGCAUCUUCUACAAUGCCAAUACUUAAACCGAUUGGAACAUUUAUUACAACCAAUGCUCAAUAACAGCAGCAGCAGCCAUUUCAAACAGUGAGAAUACAAGACAUAAUUUAACAAUGUCCUUUGUGUCAAGAUUCUCAGUUCAAGACAAAUAGACACAAAAGAGGGGGAGAUUAGGUUCCAUUUUGACUAGCACCUGGAUAACAAUGAAGAUGAUUCUCACAUCUCCAUGUGGUGCAGUAAGGUUCUUAAAGUUGCAUGAACGAACAAAUUCUGAGGAAACUGGCCUGACUCAAGAGAAAAAAUGGAUCAUCUAGAGUUACUGCAGUAGUAUGUCUGCUAAAUAACAAUUUUCAUCAACGUAGUAAAAAGAUCAAAAAAUUUCCAAACAAGUUGGACAAGGAUAGCGUCUUCCACACAGCAAAGAUCUAUAACACCACAUUUGAGUGAGAUGACAUGGUACUCUCUCAAACACCAAAUUGUCUUUUAGCAACAUAAUAUGUCCAAUCCAAGUAAAUAAAACUACAGAAAGGUAAAUAUGCUAGUCGGCACUGUUACAACCACAGCAUUAAUAAGUUACCCUAUUGAUGGGACAGGCCUGGAAAUAGUGUUACUUAAUUUAUCUCUAAACAUCAUUUGUACUGCCUAAAGUUCCAGUUUGAGGUGUCCUUGCAAUAUAGUAUGAGGUGAUUCCAAGCUUUCUUUCCCCAUUUUUUUAAAAUUUCACAAACUCUUUUUAACUUUAUAAACGGUUUAACCUUCUACAACCAUUCCAAAAAUGUGACAUUGCUUUAAGGUAGGUGAACCAUAAACCUUUACAUGCCUACAAUACCCAAAAUCUCGAUGACUCUUGGGUGUCCCAGAUCACACACCUCUUUAUUCAAGAGUUUAUGGAAGUAUGUCUGCCAUCUACACCUAAUAAGAGUCCCAUCCACCAAUACCGUGUCAUCCUCAUCUUUGAUGCACUUCACUUGCUCCAAGUCACAAGUCUUCUCCUCUCUCACCUUGGUUGUCGUGUACAACUGCUUGUCCCAGCCUAUGUCCCCAAGUUCUUCAUACAGACGUCCAAAACCCCUGCAGUCUUUGCUGCCUUAACUGCUAAUUUCACCUCCUUCCUCACUUUCUUAUACUCCUCCUUGUUCAUCCUCUUCUCCUCAUUGUCUUUUCUUUCUACUAUCUUCACAUAUGCUGCUUUCUUGGCGUCCACUUUUCCUUGGACCUCUUCAUUCCACCACCAAUCCUCUUUUGUGUCCACUGGAGUAACCCUUCAAGAUCUCUAGCACCGCUCUAGCUGCUCCCUUAAUGUAAGUCACAGUCAUCGACCACAUGCUACUCGUGUCCCCACUGCUCCUCCAGGUCCCCAUUGCUAUCAACAUCUCCACAACUCCUAAGUAUUAUCCUAAGUCAACGCACCCCACUUGAUCUGCCUUGAUCUUUGGGUGACCAUACACGACACUUUUCUCCUCUUCCUCGUUAUUACGAUGUCUAUCAUAACCAUCUUAUUUUGCUUAUAAGUCAUAUUCACAGUUAAGUCAUGUGAAUCUAUUGUAUAAACAAUAUGGUAACAAGUCAACUUUAUUGCAUUAACAAGACUAACUAUAACUGAAUUAUAUCAGUAACAGAAGUAUCAAAUUUGUUUCUUUUAUCCCUCUGAACCUAAAACUUCCUCUGACACAUUAACAAAAGGGUCCUCUAAACCUAAUACUUACUCUGUCACAUUUACCUAAGGGGAUACUAUUACUUUUUGGGGAGUCAGAGGUUUUUCUUUUACGACAAGCUUUUAUAAAAAAUUACUAAAUAUUUUGAUCUAUUAAUUUUUGUGACCAACCGCACUUGUUUCACAAUUUUCACUAUGUAAAAUUUAUGUCAAAUUCUUGAUGAAUCUAUGUCUAAAUCCACACUGAAAAUUAGGUAUUUUGACCCUCAUACUAUAAAGCAGAGGAAGUGUUAUACAAUAUAUAAGAUCACUUGGAACUUCUAUGAUGCACUUUACAAGGAUGUGAUUAAAUGAAUGCACUAAAGCUUUCCAUCACAUCCAGAACUAUCUGUGGAAUGGAAACUGGACUAGCUCAACUAGGACCAACUGAUCCGUCAUUUACCAAAACGCUAACAUAGCUCACUAGCCACCAAAUCUAUGAGGUAGAAAUCCAUCUCAAAAUGAGACUAGGUUUAACACAACAAAAACAAAGUAUUAUUGAAAUCUUGAAACUCACCAGUUGCAUAAACAACUGAAUUUUCUAUUUGCCAACCAUUAUCUAAUUUUAUAAAAACAAGAGUCUCAAUAACUUAUGGUUUAUGGUUUUUAAAGAUGAGGAAUAUUUAUAUGUUCCAAUAAUUAAUAUUUUACAGGUUACUUUAAGUUAUGUCUUACGUUAUUAUUAAUCUACAACCAUUUCAUUUGACCAACAGCCAAAUCAAAUUUCAAGUAAGACUUUAUAUUUUUUUGACUUUAAUGAGAAAAAUUGUUCUUUUCUUAAUGUUUCAAAUUAUUACUAAUUAUUUUCAAUAAUAUCUCAAGCAACAAAUUAUAAGAACAUUCUGCCCUAACCUUCACAAAAGUAAACCUAGGUCAGUAACCAAAAUAGGAGGCAACAUAAGAAAGUAUUUUGGUAGAAGCAGUUACUGUAAUGUGAUAACUUUCAAGCGAAAGGUUGCUAGUGAGCUAAAGACAAAUACAGCAAAUAUAGAAUGAUCACUUAAACUUUAAAAUUCAUCAAGCUGAGAGAUAUAAGCUUCAUGAUUAAUCCUUCUUGUUCCAAAAAUAAAGCUUUGAGGAGUUAUCCAUGUGUGUACAGUGUCAUAUCAGUCCAUACACUAACAAGUAUUUUGAAAUUACAGGUGAACAACAGUUUGAACCUGUGCGUGGUAGAUUCAUAAAUCACUGUCUUAAUCCAUAUGGCUACAUCCACUCCCUCACCUUCUUAAGUUCCACUUUUACAGAUUUAAAUUGGAAACAAAAUAUUCAAGUCAAAUAUCUAUCAUCUUUCUUAUUUCAAUGAUGUUCUUAUUCAAAAUUAUGAUUAAAAUAUAAAGUAAAAAUAACCAAAAAAAGAAAAUAUAGCAGCAAGAAGAGGUAAAAUCAAAAUACAUUACUCAUAAGCUAAUCUUUUCUCCUUUUCAGAAAAACAAAUGCGCCCACUCAGGCUUUGGGGAGGGUAGAAUGUACGCAGACCUAACAACUAUCUCGUGGAGGUAGAGAGGUAAUUUCCGAAAGACUCACAGCUCAAGUGCAACAAAUCUAGGUACAAAUAAGACACAGACAAUGACAACAAAAAUAGUACGACAGUUGAAAUAUCAAAACAAGAACUACAAUAAUACUAGUAUAAGAAUACUAGUUGGUAAAAUAUCUUUUCUUUCCUAAGCAAUAUAUAAGAUCCAAUACAGUGUACAACGAUCAUCCUUCAAUCCUACAACUCUUUAUUCUAUCCCUCAAUAUGGACAAUUCCCUAAACUUUAAUCUUAAAAGCAUAUGCCUAAACUAAAGGAAUCAUUUACGCAAGAUGAAUUUUCAUUUCUCUCGAAAAAAAUCCUCAAUUUAUGUUAGUACAAUGCUGAAAUACAAAAGAAGUAGAUUAGGUAGCCAAUCCAUUUCACGCAGUAAAUUGCUUGUAAUAUGAUCACUAAACAAUUUUAGAGGGACAAAGCUAGUUAACAAUAAUAUAUUCCAGAGAAAUGUGUAACAGUUAACAUGAUGUUACAAGAUUUCAAUUAGGUCGCCAAGUGGUAUUUCAGUUCAACUUCUACUGUAGGCCAUUAAACUGGUAAAUCAAUCAUUUUCUUGCUGAUAAUGUGAUAGCUAUCUGUAUUUUACAUGAUGUUGUAUAGAUCACUUAAGAUCAAAAAUACAAAAUGAUAACAAAAGUAACAGGAGGUAAUCAUAACACAGUUCGCGGGAGAAGCCAUAAGAUGUACAGCAGCACUAAGAUUAUAUCACACAGAUAGAAAGCAUAUUUGACCUCUAAUAUACACAAUUACAUAAAGUAAAUGCUAUAUGUAUUCCGUCAUACUAUUCUAUGAACUACUAUGAUAAAUUGGUGCCGAAAAAGAAAAAAUGCAAAAGAAACAAACAGAAGAAAAGUGUACAUGCAAUAACAAAUCUGAAGCCAGCACAGAUUUCACCGAGAAACAUUAAAGUAAUUUUCUUUAACUCAAGUACAGAAGCAAAAUUGUUUGCCAACAGUACUUCAAAGUGUAACAUCAAAUCCAAGACAAUAUGCUUCCUAGUAAAGAAAAGAAUCGUGAAGAAAAGAAACUCCAAUAACUCGCAAGGAAAGAUUUGUGAACCAGAAAAAAAAAAAAACUAAGAAAAUACGAAACUAAAUGAAACGUAUAUUUAAUUAAGUAUGAAGAGAACAACAUUACGCACCUGAAAAACGAAGCAACGGCAUUUCCACAAUGCUGUGAGUGUAAUUGCAUACCACAUCUAUUAUAAACUUGUGAUCAGGAAAAAGUUCUGCAAGGGAAUUGAAAAAGGCAAAACAAAAAAUGAUUCCGAUCAGCAAGCUGCGAGAUAAAAUAUUCAAUAAAGAAUAAAAGGAAACGUAUCGGAAAACGCAGUUAGUUUAGAAGCAAAGGUGAAAAUUGAGUUUAGCUUUCAACAAAGAUAAGCAUAUGAUAUUAAAUAUUAUUUUUUCUUCUUUCUCAGGAACCAAAAAGAAAAAAACUGUGAAUUGAACCACCGCCAUGAGAGGAAAGAACAAACAUUGCGAGUUCAUCCUGGAGUGAUCGAUCGAAAAGUUUAUCGGACAAUUCGAGGAGAAGAUGAAGAAAGAAUUGAAAGAAGAGAAUUCGAUUUGUGUUCGAAACAGUAGGUUUCACAUAGAAUAGAGAGAGGAAAUGAAUAGAGACGGGAAAAACAAUAUAUGCGUGAGCUGUGAAGGAUAAAAAGGACGGGGAAAUUGGGAUGAGAAACCCGAAGCAGAGUGGGGCAGGGGGUUGAGAAAAUUCUGGGGACUGCUGCUGUUUCCUGGUGGCGCCCCAAUGGUGAUUAUUUUAUGGCGUUAUUAUAUGCUUUUCUGGGGACUUCUUGUUUUAU